CCUACGGGUGGCAGCAGUAGGGAAUUUUCGUCAAUGGGCGCAAGCCUGAACGAGCAAUGCCGCGUGAACGAGGAAGGUCUUCGGAUCGUAAAGUUCUGUUGAAGGGGAAGAAGAGCGGAGGGAGGAAAUGGUCUCCGAUUGAUAUUACCCUUCGAGGAAGUCACGGCUAACUACGUGCCAGCAGCCGCGGUAAUACGUAGGGUGCGAGCGUUAUCCGGAAUGAUUGGGCGUAAAGGGUGCGUAGGCGGCCUGCUAAGUCUGAAGUGAAAGGUACCGGCUCAACCGGUACAGGCUCUGGAAACUGGGGGGCUAGAGAGAAGGAGAGGGCGGUGGAACUCCAUGGGUAGCGGUAAAAUGCGUAGAUAUAUGGAAGAACACCAGUGGCGAAGGCGGCCGCCUGGCCUGUUGACUGACGCUGAGGCACGAAAGCGUGGGGAGCAAAUAGGAUUAGAUACCCCUGUAGUC
rnacentral:rRNA from 1 species